GACGAACGCUGGCGGCGUGCCUAAUACAUGCAAGUAGAACGCUGAAGGAGGAGCUUGCUUCUCUGGAUGAGUUGCGAACGGGUGAGUAACGCGUAGGUAACCUGCCUGGUAGCGGGGGAUAACUAUUGGAAACGAUAGCUAAUACCGCAUAACAUUGACUAUUGCAUGAUAGUCAGUUAAAAGGUGCAAUUGCAUCACUACCAGAUGGACCUGCGUUGUAAUAGCUAGUUGGUGGGGUAACGGCUCACCAAGGCGACGAUACAUAGCCGACCUGAGAGGGUGAUCGGCCACACUGGGACUGAGACACGGCCCAGACUCCUACGGGAGGCAGCAGUAGGGAAUCUUCGGCAAUGGACGGAAGUCUGACCGAGCAACGCCGCGUGAGUGAAGAAGGUUUUCGGAUCGUAAAGCUCUGUUGUAAGAGAAGAACGAGUGUGAGAGUGGAAAGUUCACACUGUGACGUAUCUACCAG
rnacentral:rRNA from 1 species